UCCCUGCCAAGAAAGCUGAUACCCAAAUGUAGACACAAUUACAACUCCCAUAUGGCCUUUACUAACCAGGAGAGACACAGAUCUAAUAAGUGGUCAGGUUGGCAGAUCUGAAAAUACUUUCUAGCUCUUCAGGAGUUACUAUCUUAAAUUUAUGGUAGUUAAUCAUACAAAUAUUCUGUUUCUAUCUCAAUAGGACUUUCCCAGUUGGCAAACUGCAACCACUUCAUUUGCCAGAUAUAUAGAAUAUUCCUCCCAAUGGUCCCAUAGGUAGCUCUGUGAUUUGGCCCUUCGCAGCAAGUUACUUGGUUCACCAUGUUGGAUGUGAACUCCUCAAUUGAUCAAAACCUAGUGCCACCAAGGGGAGACUGAAGUGCCCAAGAACCAUAAGCCUCAGCUCUUUCACCACCAACCAGCCUUUUCCUUCAUUCCAACUCUUGACUACUGGAAGCGCACUCAGCAAUUGCAACCUACCCUAAAAAGCUAAACCAUGAAUGGAGUCAGAAAUGGGGUGCUGUGUGAUCCCCAGGCAAGGAAUUGGUGUACAUUUGAG